rnacentral:misc_RNA from 1 species
UACGGAGGGUGCAAGCGUUGUUCGGAUUUAUUGGGCGUAAAGCGCGCGCAGGCGGAUUAGUAAGUCAGAUGUGAAAUCCCAGGGCCUAACCCUGGAACUGCGUCUGAAACUGCCAAUCUAGAAUCUUAUAGGGGGUGGGGGGAAUUUCACGUGUAGGGGUAAAAUCCGUAGAGAUGUGAAGGAACACCAGAGGCGUAGGCGCCCACCUGGAUAAGUAUUGACGCUGAGGCGCGAAAGCGUGGGGAGCAAACAGG